rnacentral:rRNA from 1 species
UACUUAGGGUGCAAGCGUUAAUCGGAAUUAAUGGGCGUAAAGCGUGCGCAGGCGGUUUUGUAAGUCUGUCGUGAAAGCCCCGGGCUCAACCUGGGAAUUGCGAUGGAGACUGCAAGGCUUGAAUCUGGCAGAGGGGGGUAGAAUUCCACGUGUAGCAGUGAAAUGCGUAGAGAUGUGGAGGAACACCGAUGGCGAAGGCAGCCCCC